rfam:Angiostrongylus costaricensis strain Costa Rica genome assembly, scaffold: ACOC_contig0000412
AGCGCGAUGGCCGAGUGGUUAAGGCUUUGGACUUAAGUUCCAAUGGACGCAAGUAUUCGUGGGUUCAAAACCCCACACGCGCUA